rnacentral:tRNA from 1 species
ACCUGGCUGGCUCUGUUGGAAGAGCGUGUGACUCUUGAUCUCAGGGUCGUGAGUUCAAGCCCCAUGUUGGGUA